rnacentral:rRNA from 1 species
UACAGAGACUGCAAGCGUUAUUCGGAUUCACUGGGCGUAAAGGGUGCGCAGGCGGUCGGGUGUGUCAGAUGUGAAAUCCCGAGGCUCAACCUCGGAACUGCGUCUGAAACUACUCGACUAGAGUACUGGAGAGGGUAACGGAAUUCACGGUGUAGCAGUGAAAUGCGUAGAUAUCGUGAGGAACACCUGAGGUGAAGACGGGUUGCUGGGCUGACACUGACGCUGAGGCGCGAAAGCUAGGGGAGCAAACGGG